rnacentral:rRNA from 1 species
GACGAACGCUGGCGGUGUGCUUAACACAUGCAAGUCGAACGGUAAGGCCCUUUCGGGGGUACACGAGUGGCGAACGGGUGAGUAACACGUGAGUAACCUGCCCUCAUCUCUGGGAUAACAGUCGGAAACGGUUGCUAAUACUGGAUAUGAGCUUGCAAGGCAUCUUGUGGGUUGGAAAGAUUUUUUUUGGUUGGGGAUGGACUCGCGGCCUAUCAGCUUGUUGGUGAGGUAGUGGCUCACCAAGGCUUCGACGGGUAGCCGGCCUGAGAGGGCGACCGGCCACAUUGGGACUGGGAUACGGCCCAAACUCCUACGGGAGGCAGCAGUGGGGAAUAUUGCACAAUGGACGGAAGUCUGAUGCAGCAACGCCGCGUGCGGGAUGACGGCCUUCGGGUUGUAAACCGCUGUCAAUUGUGACGAAGCUUUUUUGUGACGGUAGCAGUAGAAGAAGCACCGGCUAACUACGUG